GACGAACGCUGGCGGCGUGCUUAACACAUGCAAGUCGAACGGAAAGGCCCUGCUAUUGUGGGGUGCUCGAGUGGCGAACGGGUGAGUAACACGUGAGUAACCUCCCCUUGACUUUGGGAUAACUUCAGGAAACUGGGGCUAAUACCGGAUAGGAGCUCCUGCUGCAUGGUGGGGGUUGGAAAGUUUCGGCGGUUGUGGAUGGACUCGCGGCUUAUCAGCUUGUUAGUGGGGUAGUGGCUUACCAAGGCUUCGACGGGUAGCCGGCCUGAGAGGGUGACCGGCCACAUUGGGCCUGAGAUACGGCCCAGACUCCUACGGGAGGCAGCAGUGGGGAACAUUGCACAAUGGGCGGAAGCCAGAUGCAGCAAUGUCGCGUGCGGGAUGACGGCCUUCGGGUUGUAAACCGCUGUCGCCGGUGACGAAGCGUGAGUGACGGUACUGGGUAAAGAAGCACCGGCUAACUACGUG
rnacentral:rRNA from 1 species